rnacentral:lncRNA from 1 species
AGAAAAGAACUUGUGGAAAGUCUAGUGCUGAAGUCCAGAUGAACUCGUGCAGCAUGACGUCAAAUCGAGUGCCGAAGUGCAGGUGGUGCUAGCUGCACUGGCAAAUUGAGUGCGAGAGUGCAGCAACGCCUGAACUGGUGCAGAAAGUGUAGCCAAAUUGAGGAGACCU